UCAGAGGCUGGGAUGAAUUCAUUUGCUGUGACAAGCAGCAGGUGCUCUGUGUGCUGGCCCUAUCUGAAAGAUGUACAGUGAGGCUGUAUGUUGUAUUCUUAAUAUUUUUCUGAUAAGAGUUAUCCUAUUUUAGUUUAGCUGUGAUGUUCCUGAAAAAUUAAAUUUCAAAGGCACUUACUUGUGCAGAUGGUACCACAGAAGCUGUAUAUGUGUGGCUCUAUUUGAGCACCUGUGAAAGACGGAGAUUUUAUGGAAUGAAGAAAAGAAAUUUCUGGCAGAUGCGACUAUGGAUUCAAUUACCAGAAUGUGAAAUUUCUAUCAGGUGCAGCUGUUUCUCUUUCUUCUAUUCUUAUCAUCAUUACAGCGUCCUCCAUUUUAAGAGACAUGAAGUACACGCUCCCUACAUACUAAAACAAAAACAACAGUCUCUCCCCUUUCCCCAGCACCUCUCUAUGACAAGAAGAUAAGAAUGAUUCAGUUUCUUGUUCAUUCUCUUCCACAGAUCUGUUGUUUAACAGGAUUUGAGAAAUUCCAUCAGGCACCCUUAACAAGUGAAGGAUUCAGACUCUUUUCCAUUGGUAGCUAUAGUUUCUAAUGCAAUCAAUAUUUUAGUUCCCAAAAAUAGAUAUACAAACUAUGGUUGUUAUUUUCUUUGCCCUCAUAAAACACAUGCAUAAUAUUGGAAUACUCGUAUUUCUUUGUUUGCAAUAUAUAUAGAAAUAGAUAAUGUCUACAACUUUUCUUAUAAAUGUUUUGCUUUAAUAUUUGCACUUCUGCAUGAAAAUAUAUUUUGCCCUAAUAAAUCUGAAUAUGCUUCUGUUUCUGUUGUUACAAAGUCCAGAGUAAGAGAAGAAUGGGAAUUAUGGGAAUUAAAUACACUCAUUGUUUGGGCAGCUAGGAAUUGCACCACUGCAAAUGUGCCCAGGGUGUGCUAUCAUGAUAAUGUGUCCUAUAGCAUCCUCAGAGACCCUUUAGCAUCCUCAGCAGCAGGUGUCUUAUAAGGGUGGUAGAUACACAUUGUUGGUUUGAGGUGAAUGUUUUACAGAGCAGAAUACGACAUGCCUUUUUUUUUUUUUUUUUUUUUUUUCAGUGUCCUUGAGUCUGUCUUCUGUAGCUCUGCCUAGUCACAGGGACCCUUGGUGAAUAUUGCUUCUCAUUUCAUUCAGACCACCAGACAGCUCUGAAAGGGAAGACACUGUGUUAAAGUGUUUAUUAUUUUCUUUGAUUUUCAUCAGGUUUUACCAUCUAUUGUGGGUGAAUUGAACAAAGUUGUAUUAAGCUUGGACUAGUACGGUAGUUAGAGGUUUCUCUAAGAAACAUUGCUAAGAAUAGUACACAAAAAACAAUGAUUUCUUGUAUCUAUUUUCAGGUGAACAUUUAUAUUAAAGUUAAAAAAAAACCAUCUAUUUACAUUUUUCCAAAUAGUUGGCAUUUUUGUGACUAUGUGUAUAUAUAAUUUACCAGCAGACAACAUUAGAAAUACACUUUAUAGUUGUAUUUUCUUUGGUCAGCAUAUAGAGGCAAAACCUCCAGCACUUCUAUAGAUGUUUGUUGCAGUGGAUAGAUAACUCUGAGUUGUUUGUGUGCUCUACUCUGAGCAUUUGCCCCUGGCUGGACCGCUUCAAUACUUACACCUUACACUAUGGUGCUAUGUUACUGUGGAAGGGCUGCAUGAAAUUAUGCAUGAGGCUCUUCUAAAGAAUGAGGAAUGCUAGAGAUGGCUGUUCUUAGCACAGCAAAUAUCACUUGGAGUUGCCAAAAUACACAUAAAUCCUAUUAAAAAAAAUAUCCAAAUUGGCUGAUAUAUUGAAUUCUGUAACAUAGACUGAAAACUGCUAGAGAAAAGUAAACAAAGAAUAAUAAAAUUAAAUAGCAGUACAUGAAGACACAAAGGUGGAAGGCAAGAGAGAGAUUGUCUGAAGCCGGUGUUGAUAGUCUCAUGCUCUUCUGAUUGCUCCAUUAAUGAUAAAUGAAGAAGUAUACAAAUGUGAGAGUAGAGUGGAGUUGUAUAUCACUCUAAACUGGAAGGCAGAAAGAGAAUGCAGUUUAAAUAGGAAAAAAAGCAGGACAGCCUAUUUUGAAAAAAAAAAAAUGACGUGAAGGACAGGGAUUAGGUUGGAUGAUUGUAUGGUGAAAGAAGGUAGAAAGAAGACGACAGUACUUUCUAAUAGCAUACAAGCACCAUGGAGCAAUAGCAAGUAAAAAAGGGUAAUAUUGCUUCCACCUGAACUCCCUGGGUUAGCUACGCCUUCCCACCUGGUGCUCAACCAUUUGUUUAGGCUGUGACCUGGCAAUUCUACUGCUAUGAUGUUACUUCAAAAAUGUAAACUUAAAUAUCUGGGUUUUCAGAAGUAAACAUAGAAAUGUUUCUAAGUAUUAAACACAGUAAGGAGGAGGAAAAAAAUAGAGGCAGGUUUCUGAUAAAUCUGUGACCGAUUUUAAGCAUAUAGAGAAACAACACAUCACCAGACAAGUGAUGGUGGUACCUGUCUUCACUGCUUUGGUGAAAAUGUGCCUGAGGUACUCUGUCAUUGUUUCAUUCUGGAAAAUGACAAAUGAUAAAUACUCUUACUAAAAAUGAUUAAAUAUCUAUGAGAAAUGUGGUAAUGGUUAAGAAAAUCAACCAACAACAACGAAAGAAAACAGAUGAAAGGCCUUACACAUACAUAAUGAAAAGUUGGUAGUAUAGCUAGAAACUAUCGAACUAUUGAAGUUCGAAGAAACUAAUGAAAAAUCGUUUCUUAGAUUUGAUUUCUAAUCCGUGAUCUCUUGACAGUCUUCAGGGCUCACAGUUUCAGAGAUUACCAUCCCAUGCUGUCCAGUAUUGUUCCUUCUCCAUGUUUUCUCUUCUGCAGAGUGGGCAUCUGCAGGUCUUGACAGCUGCCUGAUCUGAGAUAGGCAGUGCCAUAGUGGACAAAACUGGCUUUUCAAAACCUGGGUUAGGUUUCUCACAGAUAGCAUUUCUCCAAAAAAGGGACAGAGAUGAAAAAAAUUAUUUGCAUAAACCCUGGUGUGCUUUGUGAAUGUAAUUUGAGCUCUUCCCAUCUAAAAACAAUGGAUAAAACUGGAGAAGACAGUAGAAAAGGGAAGUAGCCAUGGCUCAAAUUGUGGAAUGAUAACAGGUAAAUGAAAAAUGAGAAUAUGAUUUUCCUGCUCAAAUAAGAGGCAGACAGAGGAGAGUUAUAACUGAGAUGUCUAGAAUCUGAAGGGCUGUCAAGAAACCGGUUAGCCUUGGAACUCAGUACUUUUAUUUAGUUAUUUUAAAAAUGGGAAGUGAUCAAAUAAGAUGGCAAAUGGUACUACUACUUGGUUUGGGCUUCACACUAAGUGAAUUUUAAGUUUUCACUAUGUAAAAAAUGUUUGUUUAAAAAUAAGCUUGAAAUAUCUUUCUUGAUGGAGUCAAAGACAAGAACUGAAAAGAGGAUCUGGACAAAUAUGUGAAGGAAGUUUCUGUGGAGACAAAUAUAUAAUAUAUAUUUUUAUAUAAUUAAACAGUUUGGAUCAGAAAUUCCCCAACUCGCAAAAUCUCUCAAGCUGAAAGAAACUUGGGGACGUGGGACAGUUCUUAAUCUCUCCUGUAGGCACCUAUUGGUAUCAGCAGUAAACUACUGCAUGGAAAGGGCACUUGGUCUCUCCAGCAUGGAUAUGUUUGUAGUUUUAAUGCUGGUGUUUGAUAGAGUUCAAGAGGCUGUGAAGUGUCUUCAGCUUUCAUUAAUUAGAAAAGAAAGAGAGGUAGUGUAUUAUUUUACUGAUACAAUGCAGCUAUGUUAAAAUUUUUCUUGAAUUCUCAAGAUGGCACAAUACUCUUUAUUACCUUCUGCCUUAAACUGUGAUAUUGGCUGGCCACAUAGUGCAUUCAGUCCUGAGGAUGGCUGCAUUCAGUGUGAGAUGAGUAUAUAUUCUACUACAUUAAAUUUGUAAAAGAUUUUGAGAUUCUCUGAGAUGAAAUGAGCUAUAUAAAUGCAAGCUGGUAGUAUGUUUACAAAAUGUCUGUGACUGAAAAGGUCGAUCUUCCAGAAAAAUGCCAGUAAAAAUAACCAGUUCAUUAUUUCUGGAGGUUGAGAGUAAGAAGGGGGUAGGAAAAUAAACCCAGAGGACUGGAUAAAAGUGAUCUGUUUUGGUGUCUUUUCUCUCCUGAAAGAAAAUGAUGUAUUCUAGCUAAUAUCAAAUAAUUCCUUGAAUUUGGCCUUUCAUAGUGCAUGUACUCUAUUAUACUUAUGUAUAAUAAUCUGUGUUUCUAUAGGUAGAAAUAUUGUAACAGUUGUACAAAUAUGAGAUAUAUUUCAAUAAAUCUGUGAUUAACUGUUUAAAAGCAUUUUCAAUUUUUAGGAAGUAUUAUUUAAUAAUAGAAAAAAUCUGCCUAGAUGCUGAUAUGCUAUUAGUUGCCAAGUAUGUAGCUUCUUUUAGCACUAAUAAGAAACCUGCCCAUUUUCUCUGUAGAAUCUGAGAGUGUGUUCUCUUGUGAAAUUCUUGCAGCGUACUGUGUACAAGGAGCUAGGAGGGGAUGUAACCAGGACAGCUGGCCCAAACUGGUCAAAGAGAUAUCCAAUACCGCACGGCAUUGUGUUCAGCAAUAAAAGCUGGGACAAGGAAAGAGGAAGGGAUGAACUGUUGGAGUUGAUGGCAUUUGUCUUCACAGGUAACCCUUAGUGCUAUGGACAGUGGGAUUGAGUGCACCCUCAGCAAGUUUGUGAAUGACACCAAGCUGUGUGGUGUUGUCAACAUGCCUGAGGGACAGAAUGCCAUCCAGAGAGAUCCAGACAGGCUUGAGCGGUGGGCCCAAGUAAGCCUCAUGAGAUUCAACAAAUCCGAAUGCAAGGUCUUGCACCUGGAUUGUGGCGACAUCCACUACCGUACAAGGAGCUGGGACCAUCCCUUAAAGCUUAUAGGAAGAUGGAGCUAUUCUUCCUGCUGGGAUUAUUCUCAAGAGGGAGAUGUCCAACAACAAGAACACUGUCAUUGCUCCUGCAUCUUCCUGAACAUGCUGCUGCCAAGCUAGCCCAGGUCCCAGAGCAACACAGGGAGCACUAUUUCUGUAGGAGCAUCUGUCUGAGGAUGUGAAGUGAAUUUGGACAGUAGAGCUCAAAGACAUUGGAAGACAAAGAUGAGCCCUCUAGAACUCAUCACAGCAGGAUUUGAUGAACAAUGUGGUAAAAGCAACUGUAAAAUCUAAGGCUUUUAGUCAAGUAGUUUUUGGUGUUGGUAGACCUGAAGUACUUAGCCUUCAAUCUUCAGGCUGGCCUUGUGCUUGUGAAAUUACUCAAAACAUAAUUUGUCUUAACUUUUAGGAAAAAGACUUGUUCUUACCUAAUCCUUAUUAGAAAAUAUUUAUCAUGAGUGAAAUUGUCAUAGAGAAGAAAAAGCCAAAUGGUAAUUCUUAAUAAAAUGAAUGUAUGAAAACAGUUCAGUCAAUCUUUGCUGUAAGUUGGAGUGUGCUGUAAAGGGAAGGUGGCCUCUGGCAGGAGCUGUCUUUCAUCAGAACUUUAUGCACAUUUGGGAUUUUCAGCAUUUCAUCAGUGGGAAUCCUUAGGAGGCACUGAGCAAGAAGAUACAGGAAGAUCUAUUUUGAUUUCCCUAGGAAAAAUGCUGCUUUUGGAAGCCAAUUACCAAGGCCUCCAAUAUAUGUGGUGCUCUUCAUGACUCCAGACUGCCAGGAGACAGCCUAUAUUUGCAGCUCUGCAGCUAUGGGGAGGAACACUUUCCCAGCAUCUCUCUUGAAUGUAAAGGAGAUGAUCAUAAUUUAAGUUGCAUAAAUGGACAGCUGAAGUUAUUGCUAUUAUUUCAGCUAAUUUCUUCCAGUGACUUGGAAUAAAAACUUCUUCCUCUUAACUGGAAGAAACAUGAAUGGAAAUUAUGCUUAUUCCUUUGUGGUAACGGCUACAGAGGCCCUUCAAGAAGCAGCAGCAGUAGGAAUAAAAGAGAUUUUAUAAUAAAUACCCUGACUGCAAAACAAAUGUUUGCACCAUUCGGCUCUUAACACUAUGAACUCAGAUUUGCUAGAAAUGACUGGCAGUUUCUGUUAAAGACACUGCUUUUACCAGAUACUUUUUUGAGGACUGAUCUAUUACAAGUAAUUCUGUACCAAUGAAUUACCUGUGGUCUUUAUCAGUGAAAAAUACCAAGACUUAGAGUCUACAUAUACUGCACAUGCAUCUGUGUCAUCAACAAACUGUUCUGGAGGUAUGCAUCAAUGUAUAAAAUGUAAGAGUAGAUGUUAUUUGAAUAAAAGGGACCACUCUAUAUGUGGGGACUUGGAGUGAUUUUGUUACUUGGUUUUUUUUUGUUGUUUGUUUGUUUUGGUUUUUUUGUUUGUUUAUUUGCUUUUGACAGUGCAGUUGUUUGACCAGAAAUAGAAAUACCUAGAAGAGAAAUGCCAACUGGGCAUACCUGAGGAAGGGGUGUAACCACAGCCUCAUUAAUAACACACCACACAUUUAAAAGGAUGCAUUGCAGAUGCUCUGCAAACAACGGUGAUAACAUCCAACAAGUCCAGCCUGAUGUCUUCUUAGAAACAAACUGCCACCAGGAAUAUUACAUGUAUAGUAGCCUUCCAAAGAACAAUUGCUACAAAGAUCUGCUGCACAGUCUGAAAUGAAAGUAGAAGAUGGAAUAUCUAAU